UUUUAACAACAAAAAUAAAGCAAUCAAUAUCAUACAUCAACAAUAUCCAAUGCAAUGGCUGUACCAGAGUCUCCUCAAUGAUAGAUCGUUGAUCAGAAGUGGCAGCGUUUAAUUUAAUAAAGCAAAGGAAUUUUAAUAAAAUAUUUUAUUGCAGCAAAAAAAAUACAUGUCGUUUUUCUUCAAUGUAAAAUGCAGCGUUUAAUUUAACUGGAUAUUUAACAGUACAGUAGACGGAAUGAGGUUUUCACUAACAAUUUUAGAGUUCAUGUGUUUUUUUAUUAAAUAUAUCGUUGAGGGGUUUUUUCACAAUCCAUAUUUAGUUGGGGGGGUUUUAUUA
rnacentral:sRNA from 1 species